CAAUAGCGUAUAUUUAAGUUGUUGCAGUUAAAAAGCUCGUAGUUGGAUUUCGGGUGGGACGCAGCGGUCUCGCAUUGCGUUUGUACUGCUGCAGCCCUCCUUCUUGCCGGGGGCGGCCUGUCGGACUUCACUGUCUGCGGGUCAGAAUCGGCGAUGUUACUUUGAGUAAAUUAGAGUGUUCAAAGCAAGCUUACGCUCUGAAUAUAAUAGCAUGGGAUAACACGGCAGGACUCUGGCCUAUCGUGUUGGUCUAUAGGACCAGAGUAAUGAUUAAGAGGGACAGUCGGGGGCAUUCGUAUUCCGUUGUCAGAGGUGAAAUUCUUGGAUUUACGGAAGACGAACAUCUGCGAAAGCAUUUGCCAAGGAUGUUUUCAUUGA
rnacentral:rRNA from 1 species